rnacentral:rRNA from 1 species
UAGGGAAUAUUGGACAAUGGGGGCAACCCUGAUCCAGCCAUGCCGCGUGAGUGAAGAGGGCCCUCGGGUUGUAAAGCUCUUUUGUCCGGAAAGAAAAGCAUUCGGUGAAUACCCGGAUGUUCUGACGGUACCGGAAGAAUAAGCACCGGCUAACUUCGUGCCAGCAGCCGCGGUAAUACGAAGGGUGCAAGCGUUACUCGGAAUUACUGGGCGUAGAGCGUGCGUAGGUGGUUGUUUAAGUCGGAUGUGAAAGCCCUGGGCUCAACCUGGGAAUGGCAUUGGAAACUGGGCAGCUAGAGUGCGGUAGAGGGUAGUGGAAUUCCCGGUGUAGCAGUGAAAUGCGUAGAGAUCGGGAGGAACAUCUGUGGCGAAGGCGACUGCCUGGACCAGCACUGACACUGAGGCACGAAAGCGUGGGGAGCAAACA